UACGUAGGGGGCGAGCGUUGUCCGGAGUUACUGGGCGUAAAGGGCGCGCAGGCGGUCUGGCAAGUUUGGAGUGACAGUGCUCGGCUUAACUGAGCAAGGCCUCGAAAACUGCUAGACUUGAGCACUCAAGAGGGACAUAGAAUUCCGGGUGGAGUGGUGAAAUGCGCAGAUAUCAGGAGGAACACCGGUGGCGAAGGGCGGGUCUACUGGGCCGAUACUGACGCUGAGGAGCGAAAGCGUGGGGAGCGAACAGG
rnacentral:rRNA from 1 species